GGCUCUGGGGUAAAGGACAGGCGCCCCAAACGGCGCUGGGAGACACCUCGGCCGGGCUUCGCUGCCUCAGCCGCCCGCCCGCGCACAGCGUCCCAUUCUUUAAAAUAAAAGCCGCGAGCCCUACAAUUACUGGGAUGACAGUGAGCGGGUAUUGAUCGGCACCGGGCAUUGUAGGAUCAAGCAGGCGGGCGGAGGCUGACACCGUCGCCCCCACCCUUCCCCGCCGCCUUGUCCUGCAAAAGCGCUAAAAAACCGUUUCUAAAUGUUUGAUUUCUGACGCACCAUCAACACCUGCUGCAAAGAAUGACACCCCCACCCCCGGCCGAAAGGCUGUACCUCCUCCCCUCCUCCCCUCCGCCCCUCCUCCCGUGGGCCUUCCAAGGCCGAGUCAGCUACGCCGCCACCUUCAGCCUUUUUUUUUUUUUCUUCAGUUUUCUAAUCACUUAGGGGGAAAUAUACACAUAAGCAAAAGAAAGGAAAAAAAGAAAGAAAAGCCUCCCCGGCAGGCGCGAGCGGGGGUGGUGAGGAGGGCGGCGAAGACGGUAAUGCAACCCUAAUGCACAGAUAGCUGACAUCAACUUCCGUCAGGCAGCUCCUAGAGAUCGAACCUUUCGAUUGUAACUGGGACAAUUUGCAUAGUGAUUCCCUUUCAGAGCUUUCCCGGGUCCAUAACAAGCCCAGGCAGCUAUUCAAAUGCAAGUUGCAACCCCAAAUGCAAGGCUGGCCUAACCAAAAAGAGCCAUUCGGCUCCCGGGAGAAGCGAGACCCGUGCUCCGGUUCUCAUCCUCCUCUUUCCUCCUUUCUUCCCUCUUUUUCUUCUCUGGUUCCUGAUUUAGCUGGGAGCUGUUUAUUUAUGGCUGCAAAUGUGUUUGAGCAAGAGAGAGGGAGAAUUGAUCUUUGCUUGGACUUAAAGAUGGAGCCGAAGGCGCUAGAGGGAAUUCGGGUUUGCGCGUCUAGCUCCGACCCUGGGCGCCGAAGGGGGCCGCUUGGCAAAGAGCCCGAGAUCUUUCUUCCCCGCAGCCCUCACCUCACGACCUUGCAGGAAUCCGCGGGCUCAGGAGCGGCCUGGCUGACCCACCUGCCCCGGGCCGAGCUACCAAGAAAGGCUUCGUGGAGGGGCCAUCCUGUCUCUGUCUUUAAAAUGAGCGCAAUAAAAGGGGGCAAAUCCUCAAACGGGAACCCGUCCGCUUGUCACGGAAGCAACUUGCCAUGAAAUCCGCUAAUGCGCUGCGACUCGCCCACUGGGAACCAUGAGCCCUAGCCGCCUCCCUUCGGCGUCCGGGAAAGUUGCACCGACUCGAUGGUGCGCUAGCUGGCAUGACGAAGGUGAAGAGAGAGAGAGAGACGUCGAGCCGACAGUGGGAGGCUGAGCUGGUGGCGCUGGACCACUGCGAGCCUGGCGUCGCGGCCUGUCAAACUGUCAAGUAAUAAGGCAUCUACGUCUGCUUCUCUUAAGUCCACCGCCCUGAGAGAGGGCCAGGACGACGUUGGAGGAGCCAUGCCCCAGAACUCCGCGAAAGAGUUGGUUUGGUUGGAUUCAUUUUCGCAACCACCAGGAGAGUAGUCCAGAAUGAAAAGGGGACCCAUUAACGACUUGUGCAAUGAGUCUGGCGUGUGCACCGGCGAAUCUAAACCGGUUCCAAAUGCGGGACUGCACGUAGGGGCCCCGAAGAACACAGCUUACUAGCUAUUUUCUUAACGGUGCUUUUAAGUGUGAGCGAAGCUUUUCGCACCCUCUCAUGAGCCAAGCUCCCUGAACCCUCGAGCAUUUGGAAGCCACUUUGUUCUAGAAGGAGGCAGUGAACAGUGAUCUGUGCGCGCUGAGAUCUCACAGAAGAGCAGCAGUGGAGAGAUGAAGAUAGAUUCCAAGUCAACUUCGUGGGGUGAGGGGAUAGGGGAGGGGAGUUUAUGAGAAGGUUCACACGGUGGCUAUUUUUUGGUUUUCU